rnacentral:pre_miRNA from 1 species
AGGAGGAACAGCCCCAGUGGCGGGGCCAGCUCUGGAGCCUUGGAUUCAGCUCCCACAGUAACUCCGGUGCUCUCAGUCUGCAGGGCCUGGAUGUUUCGGGGCGGG